CUUCUCUGGGCUACGCAGGAAAGUGGGUCACACGAGGAUUGCUCUGGGGAAUUGGUCCCAGUGUCCCUCACUCCUGUCUGCCAUUCCUUGGAGUAGAGCCGACGCCAUCCCCGCGGCUGGCAGGAGAACACAAAGGAAACCCUGAUUCGGUCCCUGGACCUUAGGGUCACUGUAAGCAGGAGGCUGGUGUGUUUUCCAGUCUCAGAGCCCCGGCCGCCCGCGGGAACAAUAGCGGCCGCCUGCCCGGGAGGUCGGGCGUUCGGCACAAAGCCGGCUUGGUCCGCGCGGUCGGCCACACGACGCGCGCGCUGACCCGGCUGCCGUCGCUCGCCGGUGUUCCCGCGUCCACCUGAAACUCUCCGAGAAAGACAAACGCGGUUCCUCCUACUUUAGAGCAAGUCUGGGCCAGCUGGGAGCCGACCAGAAACCGCAAGCGGAGGAGACGCUGGCGCUCCGGGUGAGCGCUAAGGGAGGAGGCGACACACAGCCCUGCGCCUGCCCAGCAGCGACGAAGGUAGCGCUCCAGGCACGCCGCAGGGGAAGGUCGGGGACGUCUCUGCGCGGCACACGAAGGGGAGGGUCACUUCUUACUUUUGAUCUCUAACCGCAGUCCACCAGCACGGACCUCGAACUUCACAGCAAAUCUACACCCACGCUGUCCCCUGACCCAUUGUGACCCGGCAUUUUCCCUCCUACCCAAGUGACACUCACAUAGGCCGCUCUAUUUCUAGAAAGAGAAACCCUCUCUCUGGAGGCAGAGCAAGAACAAUCCCAAUGAAUCAAGGCUUCUUAUUGACCCCAAGUCUGCCUUCAGGCCUCUCUGCGUGGGAGUAAGUAGGUCAAGGCUGCCACUGAACUUGGAGUAAACUUGAAUUCCCUUUAAAGUUACAAUAAACGUAUGUACAUAUUCAUCUAC
rnacentral:lncRNA from 1 species